rnacentral:rRNA from 1 species
CCCUUAGAUGUCCUGGGCCGCACGCGCGUUACACUGAUGCAUUCAACGAGCUUAUAACCUUGGCCGAGAGGCCUGGGCAAUCUUGUUAACGUGCAUCGUGAUAGGGAUAGAUUAUUGAAAUUAUUAAUCUUGAACGAGGAAUUCCUAGUAAACGCAGAUCAUCAAUCUGCAUUGAUUACGUCCCUGCCCUUUGUACACACCGCCCGUCGCACCUACCGAUUGGAUGGUCCGGUGAAGCCUCGGGAUUGUGGUUCUUGCCGCUUUAUUGUAGCGUGACCGCGAGAACUUGUCUAAACCUUAUCAUCUAGAGGAAGGCGAAGUCGUAACA